rnacentral:ncRNA from 1 species
AAAAAAGCUAUGAUGGAAAAAAGAUGCAUAGGAUUGCACAAGAGAGCUGAUGGUUGGUGCGAAUCAGCGCAUGAUAUGCAUGUAUAACUCGUUCCGGAGCUUCGUUGCUGAAAUGGGAGUAGGUGACGACGUUGACUACGUUAUAGUCUGUACAUAUUUUAUAUAUGUACCUGAGGGCAUUAUAUAUGUCGAAUCAGGGUGGUACCACGUAGGAUUAUACCCUUCGUCCCUGCA